AUGGCCAUUGCUGCUUUCUAGCACUUCUCUGUUGUCCUGAGCACUGCUAGCGACCGCACCUGCAUGCUUAAUCUACGCAAAAUGCACCUAGGCGCAUUCGAUCUUGCGGCCCUCGAGAUCCCUUUCACCGAGGAGGAGAUAUGGACUGCUGUCAAAAGCCUACCAUCCGGCAAGGCUCCCAGCCCCGACGGAUUCUCGGUGGAGUCCCUCCGCUCGUGUUGGCCGGUGAUCAAGGAGGAUAUCUACGCAGCCUUUGACAAACUUUACGCCAUGAAUGGGCAAGGAUUCCAGAAGCUGAAUGAGGCCUUCAUUACUUUGUUGCUGAAACGACCCGACGCCUCCACGCUCGGUGACUACAGGUCAAUCAGCCUGAUACAUCUCUUUGCUAAGUUGUUCGCCAGAGAGGUUUCUCUCCGCCAGGCGCCAAAACUACACACAAUGAUCUCAAUCAACCAGAGUGCAUUCAUUUCUGGUCGGUGCAUCCACGACAAUUUCUUGUUGGUCCAGCAGACGGCGCGCCUACUUCACAACCUGAAGCUUCCUCGGUUCCUCUUGAAACUUGACAUCGCCCGCGCUUUUGACUCUGUUUCUUGGGCAUUCAUCUUGGAGGUCCUAAAACACCUAGGAUUUGGCAACCGAUGGCAUGAAUAG
rnacentral:rRNA from 1 species